GAGAGCAAUUUUGGUUACAGACGAGCAUGCGCUCCAUUAGCCAGUUGGCGGGGUAACGGCCCACCAAGGCGACGAUGGAUAGGGGUUCUGAGAGGAAGGUCCCCCACAUUGGAACUGAGACACGGUCCAAACUCCUACGGGAGGCAGCAGUGAGGAAUAUUGGUCAAUGGUCGGCAGACUGAACCAGCCAAGUCGCGUGAGGGAAGACGGCCCUACGGGUUGUAAACCUCUUUUGUCGGAGAGUAAAGUACGCUACGCGUAGCGUAUUGCAAGUAUCCGAAGAAAAAGCAUCGGCUAACUCCGUGCCAGCAGCCGCGGUAAUACGGAGGAUGCGAGCGUUAUCCGGAUUUAUUGGGUUUAAAGGGUGCGUAGGCGGCACGCCAAGUCAGCGGUGAAAUUUCCGGGCUCAACCCGGAGUGUGCCGUUGAAACUGGCGAGCUAGAGUGCACAAGAGGCAGGCGGAAUGCGUGGUGUAGCGGUGAAAUGCAUAGAUAUCACGCAGAACCCCGAUUGCGAAGGCAGCCUGUUAGGGUGCGACAGACGCUGAGGCACGAAAGCGUGGGUAUCGAACAGGAUUAGAUACCCUGGUAGUCCACGCAGUAAACGAUGAAUACUAACUGUUUGCGAUACAAUGUAAGCGGUACAGCGAAAGCGUUAAGUAUUCCACCUGGGGAGUACGCCGGCAACGGUGAAA
rnacentral:rRNA from 1 species